rnacentral:rRNA from 1 species
UUGAACGCUGGCGGCAGGCCUAACACAUGCAAGUCGAGCGGAUGAGUGGAGCUUGCUCCCUGAUUCAGCGGCGGACGGGUGAGUAAUGCCUAGGAAUCUGCCUGGUAGUGGGGGACAACGUUUCGAAAGGAACGCUAAUACCGCAUACGUCCUACGGGAGAAAGUGGGGGAUCUUCGGACCUCACGCUAUCAGAUGAGCCUAGGUCGGAUUAGCUAGUUGGUGAGGUAAAGGCUCACCAAGGCGACGAUCCGUAACUGGUCUGGGAGGAUGAUCAGUCACCUGGAACGGGAGACCCGGUCGAAACCCCAACGGGGGCCAGAGUCGGGAAGUAUGGGAAAGUGGCGGAAGCCUGGUCCAGGCCAGCCGCCGGUGUGAAGGAGGUCUUCGGAUUUUUAAGCACUUUAAGUUGGGAGGAAGGGCAGUAAGUUAAUACCUUGCUGUUUUGACGUUACCAACAGAAUAAGCACCGGCUAACUUCGUG